AUUGAACGCUAGCGGGAUGCUUUACACAUGCAAGUCGAACGAGUGGCGGACGGGUGAGUAAUAUAUCGGAACGUGCCCAGUAGGGGGGGAUAACUACUCGAAAGCGUGGCUAAUACCGCAUACUCUUGGAGCGGCCGAUAUCGGAUUGGCUGUUUGGUGGGGUAAAGGCUAACCAGGGCAACGAUCCGUAGCUGGUUUGAGGGGACGACCGGCCACACUGGGACUGAGACACGGCCCAGACUCCUACGGGAGGCAGCAUGGGGGAAUUUUGGACAAUGGGGGAAACCCGGCUCCAGCCAUCCCGCGUGUAUGAGAAGGCCUUCGGGUUGUAAAGUCCUUUUGGCAGAGAAGCGGUAUCUGCAGAAUAAGCACCGGCUAACUACGUGCCAGCCGCCGCGGUAAUAC
rnacentral:rRNA from 1 species